AGAAAUUUAGGUUCAUUAGACCAAGGGCCUUCAAAGCCCUAAGAGAAAGUUAAAUCCUUCAAUUUCUA
rnacentral:tRNA from 1 species